rnacentral:rRNA from 1 species
UUUGACAUGGCUCAAGACGAACGCUGGCGGCGUGCUUAACACAUGCAAGUCGAACGAUGAAGCGGUGCUCGCACCGUGGAUUAGCGGCGAACGGGUGAGUAAUACGUGAGUCGACCUACCUUUGACUCUGGGAUAAGCCUGGGAAACUGGGUCUAAUACCGGAUACGACCAAUCUCUGCAUGGGGUGUUGGUGGAAAGCGUUAUGGAGUGGUUUUAGAUGGGCUCACGGCCUAUCAGCUUGUUGGUGAGGUAAUGGCUUACCAAGGCGACGACGGGUAGCCGGCCUGAGAGGGUGACCGGCCACACUGGGACUGAGACACGGCCCAGACUCCUACGGGAGGCAGCAGUGGGGAAUAUUGCACAAUGGGCGCAAGCCUGAUGCAGCGACGCCGCGUGAGGGAUGACGGCCUUCGGGUUGUAAACCUCUGUUAGCAUCGAAGAAGCGAAAGUGACGGUAGGUGCAGGGAAAGCGCCGGCUAACUACGUGCCAGCAGCCGCGGUAAUACGUAGGGCGCGAGCGUUGUCCGGAAUUAUUGGGCGUAAAGAGCUUGUAGGCGGUUGGUCGCGUCUGCUGUGAAAGGCCGGGGCUUAACUCCGGUUUUGCAGUGGGUACGGGCUAACUAGAGUGCAGUAGGGGAGACUGGAAUUCCUGGUGUAGCGGUGGAAUGCACAGAUAUCAGGAGGAACACCGAUGGCGAAGGCAGGUCUCUGGGCUGUAACUGACGCUGAGAAGCGAAAGCAUGGGGAGCGAACAGGAUUAGAUACCCUGGUAGUCCAUGCCGUAAACGUUGGGCACUAGGUGUGGGGGACAUUCCACGUUUUCCGCGCCGUAGCUAACGCAUUAAGUGCCCCGCCUGGGGAGUACGGCCGCAAGGCUAAAACUCAAAGGAAUUGACGGGGGCCCGCACAAGCGGCGGAGCAUGCGGAUUAAUUCGAUGCAACGCGAAGAACCUUACCAAGGCUUGACAUGCAUUAGAUCGCGUCAGAGAUGGCGUUUCCCUUCGGGGCUGGUGUACAGGUGGUGCAUGGUUGUCGUCAGCUCGUGUCGUGAGAUGUUGGGUUAAGUCCCGCAACGAGCGCAACCCUCGUUCUAUGUUGCCAGCGGUUCGGCCGGGGACUCAUAGGAGACUGCCGGGGUCAACUCGGAGGAAGGUGGGGAUGACGUCAAAUCAUCAUGCCCCUUAUGUCUUGGGCUUCACGCAUGCUACAAUGGCCGGUACAGAGGGUUGCGAUACUGUGAGGUGGAGCUAAUCCCUUAAAGCCGGUCUCAGUUCGGAUUGGGGUCUGCAACUCGACCCCUUGAAAGUCGGAGUCGCUAGUAAUCGCAGAAUCAGCAACGCUGCGGUGAAUACGUUCCCGGGCCUUGUACACACCGCCCGUC